rnacentral:rRNA from 1 species
UUUCCUACGGGAGGCAGCAGUAAGGGAUAUUGGUCAAUGGGGGAAACCCUGAACCAGCAACGCCGCGUGAGGGAAGACGGUUUUCGGAUUGUAAACCUCUGUCCUCUGUGAAGAUGAUGACGGUAGCAGAGGAGGAAGCUCCGGCUAACUACGUGCCAGCAGCCGCGGUAAUACGUAGGGGGCAAGCGUUAUCCGGAUUUACUGGGUGUAAAGGGAGCGUAGACGGCGAUGCAAGUCUGAAGUGAAAGGCGGGGGCCCAACCCCCGGACUGCUUUGGAAACUGUAUAGCUGGAGUGCAGGAGAGG